rnacentral:misc_RNA from 1 species
GAUGAAGAACGUAGCGAAAUGCGAUAAGUAAUGUGAAUUGCAGAACUCAGUGAAUCAUCGAAUCUUUGAACGCACAUUGCGCCCCCUGGCCUUCCGGGGGGCAUGCCUGUUCGAGCGUCAUUUCAACCCUCAAGCUCUGCUUGGUGUUGGGCCCUGCCCGCUGCGGCCGGCCCUAAAGACAGUGGCGGUGCCGCCUGGCCCUGAGCGUAGUACAUCUCUCGCUCCAGUGCCCGGUGGUAGCCUGCCAGAACCCCAACUCUCGUGGUUGACCUCGGAUCAGGUAGGGAUACCCGCUGAACUUAAGCAUAUCAAUAAGCGGAGGA